GGUGAAGAACGUAGCGAAAUGCGAUAAGUAGUGUGAAUUGCAGAAUUCAGUGAAUCAUCGAAUCUUUGAACGCACAUUGCGCCCGCCAGUAUUCUGGCGGGCAUGCCUGUUCGAGCGUCAUUUCAACCAUCAAGCCCCCGGCUUGUGUUGGGGACCUGCGGCUGCCGCAGGCCCUGAAAACCAGUGGCGGGCUCGCUAGUCACUCCGAGCGUAGUAAUACAUCUCGCUCAGGGCGUGCUGCGGGUUCCGGCCGUUAAAAAGCCUUAUUUACCCAAGGUUGACCUCGGAUCAGGUAGGAAGACCCGCUGAACUUAAGCAUAUCAAUAAGCGGAGGA
rnacentral:misc_RNA from 1 species